rnacentral:tRNA from 1 species
GGGGACGCAGCUCGAAUGGUGGAGCGGAUGCUUUGCACGCAUAAGGUUGUCGGUUCAACUCCGAUCGUCUCCA